rnacentral:tRNA from 1 species
AUUUAUAUAGUUUAAUAAAACAGUAUAUUUUCAAUAUACAGAUAAUAUUUUUAUAUUUGUAAAUU